CUUGCUAUGAUCUGGGGAAGGAAGGAAAUUGGUGCCAAAGAGGGACAGAGGAAGGGAUGUUGUAAGUGUCUUGAAAUUCUACUUGACAACACUUAGUACACUGCCGGCAGAGAGACCACGGCAAAGCAGCCACCAGGAAUGUCUUCUGGAAGCAAGAGGACGCUGGGUUAGGGAGGAACCUGUUACCUGCAGGGAGAAGCACCAGAAUCGCUCUGAGUUAGGCCCUUCCUGCUUCCUAGGCUCCGGUGUCUUUUUCCGCCUCCAGCCCUCCACCCUUGACGUUGGACAACCGCCUCUGGCCGCCGGGUGCGGGUGGAAGGCUCCCCAGAGCCUCUUCAAGACGUGGUGUCAAGGAGGUGAGUCCAUACAGGAGGAAAACCCCAAAAGAGUCGGAAGGUGCUGCUGGCCCCAUGACAUUUCAGGUGGAAACGCAGGCCUGGGUAAGACCACCUACUAACGUAAUUUCAGAGCCUCAGAAUCCUUCAUCUCGGAUGGGGAUCAGUAACACCCACCUCGAUGGGUUGCUGUAAGGAUUAGAUGAAAACUGAUAGACUGCUUCACUCCAUGUUACUUCCUUCCUCCCCAAAAUGCCAUGUUUUAGUCAAGGUCCAGCGGUGAUGCAGUAUCCUGGUGUAAAAUGCCAUUUUUAGACUUUUCAUAAGAUAAUUUCAGAUUUCUAGGUGAAGCAUGGAAACCAAAUAAGUCCUGGAAGCUGAAACUGGGGAUUGCUUUCACGGGAGGUGCUGGGCUGGGUCCUUCUGCGCUCAAUGUCAUCUUGACUCUGGCAGUAGGAUUGGCCCAGCCAGUUGGUCUGGGUGCCUGCCGAGCCCACAGCCUGACUCAGGGAAGAGCCAGACUUGCUCUGCAACAUGGGACUCUCACUGUUGGGCCCUGACCCAAGGACAGCUAAGCCAUGAGCUCCAAGUAAACCUUGAGGUGCUCAGAGUGAGGUGACUAGUUAGCUUAGCAAGUAAAUAACUCAGCGGGCCUCCUCUCAAAUAUUUCAAUGGGACUAUGGAGAGAUCGAGGCAUGACAUAGUGGACGGCCACAAGGGAAGAUGUGAAGCAGGUCUCUUAGUCAUGGGAACUUAGGAGCACGUUCUCUUGAACUCCUUAGGCUCUAGCAGCUUUCUUGUUCCAGGGCUCCAUGAGGCUAUCUGUCCAUUUUUGCCAGAUGUCCAUCUUCCACAUCGCCAUGGGUGUUUUAGAGUAAAUUCCCAGUACUUGAAGAAACCAGAGUGAGUGCCUGUCCCUUACAACUCAAAGGCCCACCUUUUAUUAGGCCUGUCUAAAUAAUGUAAGGCUGUUCUCUAACCAUAAGCAGCCAGGGUGGGGAGAGGCGUAUAAUGGGCACAAUAUAAAACCGUUCAGAAGAGUUGUCCUUUAUCAGUUAGUAAGGGCCUCCCUGCUGUCAGAGGAUCUGCUGUAAAAUCUCAAGAAAUAACUUCUCAUAUCCCAACACUGUUUUCUCUGUCCUUGGAGACGGUCGGGAAGAGGGGACAAGACUGAUUUACUUAGUCCUUUGUGCUGGUGGGCCCUGGCUGGGGCUGAAUUUAUGUCACUGCUCUUCAUCAAGAAUGUGGCUUUCUCCCUCUGAUGAGAUGUCCCUCAGCAUUGAUUGUUAGCUCGGAGCUUGCUGAGAGAUUAAACUUGGGCUCAGACAACCCGGUGGGGGUCGAUGGCCCAGGAAAGAUUAUGAUAAGGCAGGGGUGAGGGACAGGAAGGAGGGUGGUGUGCUGGAAUUUAGGAUAAUUGAAUUUGCUGUGCAGCCAGCAGUUAUGACCUGGGUCAUCCGCUGGAUCUUGGGUCGUAAAUCCACUAAGACCAGGAAAUUCCAGGGUUAGGCCAAUCUUUCCAUUUUUUCUCAGAGACUAAGAUGGUUGAGGAUUUAGAGAGGAAUGGUUUUCACCUUCUAAAGAAGCUGUGACUCUGAGCAAACUAAUAUUUUUGCAUUACGAUACUUAAACGUGUAUUUCAGAAACCAAGUAUCAGUCCCUCCGUUUUUUUGUCAAGUUUCUCCCAGGAAAACCAGCAGGACCUCCUAUUUAUGGACAAUUGUCUAUCUGCUCUGAUUACCCAAAGUGCUGGAGGUGGAGUGGGCUCCCUCCAGGGGUCUACUGCUUGUGAAUUAUGAGACCCUGUUUUGACUCCAAUUUUCUCUCCAUUGCCUUUUGGGCAUUUGCUAAGGCAAAGCUGUGGGACCAUUUGUAAUUAACCCACAACAAACUGAACAGCUGAUCUCCUGAAAUCUAGAUAUUUCUUGCAAAGUCAGAGUUGACCUAAGGCACACUGUAUGCAAGUAAUUUUUAUGGUGUCUCCAGAAUUUUCUGGAAAUGCUACAAAUACUCCAGGAUAUUCCUCUUGGAAUGAACCAAAUUUCCCAUAGGUGAGGUGCUUGAAUCCUCUGGGCGAAUGCAGGUGUCCUAAGAAUGAAGGGCAGCUUAGGGGAUGACUGUGUCUUUGGCCACACAGGUUAUUGGGGAUGGAAAUCCUCACUUUCCUCUGCAACCCUCUCUUCACUUCCAUCUGACCAAAAUCUUCAAGGGUUGGCUUUGAGCACAACCACCAAGUCUAGGAUUUGUUGCUGGAUUGAAGCCACUUGGAAAUUUGGAUCAAUGGGAGUUUUGUGUGUUGGAUUCUGAUAAGAUGAUCACUGAAGUUCAUUAAAUAUUCAGCAUGGAAAGAAGACUGAGAGCCAUCUUUGACAGGUUUUAGCUACAAUCCAAAUUCAAUUUGCUUUUCAGAAUCAGUGGCAAGUUCCUAUUUCUUCCCUAUAGACUACGUCCCUUGGGAGAGACAGCUUGAAUUCUUCACAUAACGGUCUCAGGCGGAUAUCUUAUGCGUUUUGGUUUCCAAGUAGUCAAAUAUUCUAUUAUGAUUUUUUUAAGACAAAACUUUGAGUUAUUCAGAAAAAAACUAGGUAAGUGGAGGUUCCUAAAAAAGACAAGGGCCGAGCAAAGGGAAAGGAAGUUGUCAGGAAAAGCUGGGGUAUCUGGAAAGUAUUGCUAAAGUAUGUGUGGUACUUGAUUAAAUAUUUCUGAAAGCCAGAGCCUAGAGGCAGUACAAGAAUCAUUGGGAAAGAAAUACUGCAUAUUCUGGGGAAACCAAUCAGUACCAAACACUGGCUUGGUAAAAAAUGCCAGCAAAUUAUAAUAGUGCUCUGGUCUUAUACUUUAACUGUAUCUCUCACAUGUUUAUUUUCUCUGUGUGUCUCUGGAGUUAACCAUAAAGACGCGGGAUAGACACCUUACCCUGCCUCUCAGACCUGCUGGGCAGCCGGGCCCUGGACAUGUUCUGCCCAGCAGGUGCAGUUUGACAAACAACAGGCAUGUAUCAGACCCUUCCAUAAAGCCACGCACUUGCUAAGUCCUAGGAAUUAAAAAGAAAACAUUGGACACAGCUCCUGCCCUUCAUGUCCUUAUAGUCUAAUGGAGGACACAGGCCUUCAAAUACAAACAGAUCUGGAUCUGAGCACCGAUUGAUAAUCAAAAGUAAUCAAAAAGUUGAUGCCUUUCUUAACCCCAGCUUCCCUCAAAAAACACUUGUGGCAUAUCCGAGAGUAUUGUUUUUCCACACUGGCCAGACAUAUUCUUCCCCAUCUCCUUCCACUCUCUCCCCUGGAUACCCAGCUCAAGAUUAUUUGUUUAAUUUGGGAGUGCCUGAGUGGCUCAGUUGGUUAAGUGUCAGACAUCCACUCAGGUCAUGAUCUCACGGUUUGUGGGUUCGAACCCUGUGUUGGGCUCUGUGCUGAGAGCUCAGAGCCUGGAUCCUGCUACAGAUUCUGGGUUUCCCUCUCUCUCUGCCCCUCCUCUGCUUGUGCUCUGUCUCUGUCUGUCUCUCAAAAAUGAAUAAAUGUUAAAAAAAAAUUUUUUUAAGAUUGUUUUAUUUUAUGCCCAUCCCCAACCAGCUCCUAGCUCCUUGGUCUCUCUGGUUAACUCCUAUAUCUUUCUUUCCUUUCUCUUGUUGUACUCUAGAUUCUUCAUCUCAAAAGGUGUAGGUGUGUGUGUGUGUGUGUGUGUGUGUGAGAGAGAGAGAGAGAGAGAGAGAGAGAGUACAGAGACAAGCAGAAACCACAUUAGUGAGAUUUGUAGUCCUUUGUCCUCACCCAUGGCCCAAACAUACAUACGUUCAGCAAGAUUUGUGCAGUUUUAAAUGUAUAUUUCCAGAUCUUCCCUUUAUCUGCUUCUCUUCUUUUCACCUUUCCCUUUCCCUUCUUUCCCAUUCGUUUCUUUUCUCUCCUGAAGUAUUUAUUCUUGAAGCCAUACAGGGAGCAGAAUGAGGUAAGUAUCAGAGUGCAGUGUUAUCAGGGCCUGCCCUGGGGGACAAGGGCUCUCGUGUGGCGUGUCCCAGAGUGCAGUGCUAGUGUCCAGGUGGAGCAAAGACAGUACCCAUGGGGGACAGGGGUGCGGCCUGUCAUGAGUCAGGGCUUGAGCAGAUGGAGGAGGGUGUCCCUGCAGAGGGGUGGCCUGGCUUGGGGUGUCAGAGCUUGGACAGGAUGAGGAGGACAUCAUAUGGAAGCAUGGCCUGGUAUGGGGUAAGGAGGGAGUCCAUGUAGUGAGGUGGCCAGGGUGGGAACUGAGAGCCAGAGCAGGGAAAGGAAUGUCACAUGGGGGUGGGGGUGCAGCAGAGAUAGGAGACAGUUGCAUGCAGGAGGACUGAUAAGUAAAUGCCUAAAUUAUGCUAAAUGGAAGCCAUGUUUCUCACUGUCAAAUAAGGGAAUUACAAUAUGGGAAGGGAAAAACUAGGGUGAACCCUGUGGUGUUAGAUUGGAAAUGGACGCAUCUGAGUAAAUGUCAGGUUUUCAAUAUAGAUGGAGAGAUAAAGAAAUAACUAUGGACAUCAAUGUCUAAUCAUAUCUGAUGGUUAAUUUUAAGUGUCAGCUUGACUGGGCCGAGCGUUGCCCAGAUAGCUGGCAACACAUUAUUUCUGGGUGUGUCUGCGAGGGUGUUUCUGGGAGAGAUUGGCAUUUGAAACUGCAGGCCAAGUAAAGAUCUCCCUCACCAAUGUGGGUGGGUGUCAUUCAAUCUGUUAAAGGCCAAUCGGUUGGGUAGAGCAAAAAGGGGGAGGAAGGGUAAAUUCUCUUUCUCUGCUUGAGCCAAGACAUCCACCUUCUUCUGCCCUCAGACACUGGCAUGCCUGGUUCUCAGGUUUUUGGAGUCAGACUGGGAGUUUUACCAUUGCCCCGACCCCUCACCCCAUUCUCUGGCCUUGGGAUUCACUUGGAUUGAAUUACAUCACUGGCUUUCCAGGUUCCUCGGCUUGCAGAUAGCACGUUGUGGGACACUUGGUCCUGACGAUUGCAUGAACUAACUCUUAUAAUAAAUCCCUUCUUAUAUAUCUCUCUCUCUAUGCAUCCUAUUGAUUCUGUUUCUCUGGAGAAUCCUAACACAGCAUAUGUAUACAUGUAGAUAUCUCUGUGCGUGCGCGCGCGCGUGUGUGUGUGUGUAUGAUGUAUGUGUGUGUAUGUACAUAUGCUACCUAACUCUGUCCCCUGGAAAGGCCUGGGAGCAGUGACCCUGCAAUAGCAGUGAGCACACCUAGUACUCAGAUUUUGGGCUCUAAAUAUCAUUUUCCAUUAAAAAGAACCAGUGAUCCUUGGAGAAACAACUGAUUUGGGGGCUAGGCUAGGGAGCCCCAAAUACGUUGUUGGAAAAACAAAGAAGUGCUCAAAGAUUGGUGGGAACAUAUCAAAGAGCACAGAUGCCAAUUUUAAUGGCAUCCCACUGGGGCAAGAUCAUCAUUAGACUAAACAAUGAUAAGAACACAUAUCUAGUGGAUAGAAUUAGAAACCAUGAGUCUCUAGAGACAUAAAUAAAUGAAUACAUUGAAAUUUGAAGGUGAAUGAGAUAUUUACAUGAUUUCAAAGUACCUACCCACAAAACACAAUACUUGUUGAUUACAUAGGGGAAAAAUACAGUGGACAAGCUUGGAAGACACUACCUUUUUUUUUUUUUAAUUUUUUUUUAAUGUUUAUUUAUUUUUGAGACAGAGAGAGACAGAGUGUGAACAGGGGAGGGGCAGAGAGAGAGGGAGACACAGAAUCUGAAACAGGCUCCAGGCUCCGAGCUGUCAGCACAGAGCCCGACGCGGGGCUCGAACUCACGUACCGUGAGAUCAUGACCUGAGCCGAAGUCGGAUGCUUAACCGACCAAGCCACCCAGGCGCCCCAGGAAGACACUACCUUAAUCAAAUCACCAAAACGAACUUGAUCAAUAAAGGGAUAAGUUGAAAGUGUGUGCCAUCCAUAAAGUGCAUGGAGAAGGUAGCAUCCCUCUGUGAUACUGCUGUUGUAGAUGCCUAGCCUAACUCUAAUAAUGAGGAGAUACCAGACAGCUCCAAAUGGAAGGCCAUUCUGCAAAAUAACUGGCCUGUAAUAUUCAACAUGGUCAAAGUUCUAAAAGUCAAGGAAAGGCUCGGGAAUGUUGCAGACUAAAGAUGUGGGACAAUAGGGCCCUGGAUGGAUCAGUAGGGCCCCAGGGUUAUGAGAUCAAGUCCCUCAUCAUGCUCCUUGCUCAGUGGAGAGACUGCCUAAGAUUCUCUCCUUCUGCCCCUCUCCCCUGUCUCUACUCUCUUCCCUCUUUCUUAAAAAAAAUUAAAGACAUGGGACAACUAAAUACAACUGGGAUUAUGAACAGAAUUCUUUUGCUGCAAAAAGCAAUAGUAGGACAAUUAGCAAAGAGUGAAUGGUGCCCAAGAUAUGGACAGAAAUCUGUCCGUAUUUACUCCCCUCUUGAAUACAUCUCUUGCGCAGCUUCCAACGGCCAACCUUUCUGAAGGUAUAAAAUGUGCUUCUAGUUCUUACAGUGACUGUUCCUAAAUAAAGGUGCUACUAUCUGAAGGAAAAAUAAAUCUGUCUAUGUUAAUUUUCUGAUUUUCACAAUCACACUGGAUUACGUAGGAGAACGUUGUUUGUAGGAAAUACACUCUGCAGCAUUUGCGUGUGAUGGAGCCAUCAGGCUGGCAACUUAUUCUCAAGUGCUUCAAAAAAAAUGUUCAUUGUAAACUCAACUUUUCUGUAAGUUUGUGACUGUUUCAAGCUUUUAGAAUUUUUUAAAUUAAAAUAGUAUAUUCAUGAUAUACAAAGGAA